GAUGAACGCUGGCGGCGUGCUUAACACAUGCAAGUCGAACGAUGAAGCCCAGCUUGCUGGGUGGAUUAGUGGCGAACGGGUGAGUAACACGUGAGUAACCUGCCUUAACUCUGGGAUAAGCCUGGGAAACUGGGUCUAAUACCGGAUAGGAGCGUCCACCGCAUGGUGGGUGUUGGAAAGAUUUAUCGGUUUUGGAUGGACUCGCGGCCUAUCAGCUUGUUGGUGAGGUAAUGGCUCACCAAGGCGACGACGGGUAGCCGGCCUGAGAGGGUGACCGGCCACACUGGGACUGAGACACGGCCCAGACUCCUACGGGAGGCAGCAGUGGGGAAUAUUGCACAAUGGGCGCAAGCCUGAUGCAGCGACGCCGCGUGAGGGAUGACGGCCUUCGGGUUGUAAACCUCUUUCAGUAGGGAAGAAGCGAAAGUGACGGUACCUGCAGAAGAAGCACCGGCUAACUACGUG
rnacentral:rRNA from 1 species